rnacentral:rRNA from 1 species
UACGAAGGGGGCUAGCGUUGCUCGGAAUCACUGGGCGUAAAGCGCACGUAGGCGGAUCUUUAAGUCAGGGGUGAAAUCCUGGAGCUCAACUCCAGAACUGCCUUUGAUACUGGGGAUCUCGAGUCCGGGAGAGGUGAGUGGAACUCCGAGUGUAGAGGUGAAAUGCGCAGAUAUCAGGAAGAACACCAAUGGCGAAGGCAGCUCUCUGGGACGGUACUGACGCUGAGACGCGAAAGCGUGGGGAGCGAACAGG